UACGUAGGGUGCAAGCGUUAAUCGGAAUUACUGGGCGUAAAGCGUGCGCAGGCGGUUUUGUAAGUCUGUCGUGAAAUCCCCGGGCUCAACCUGGGAAUUGCGAUGGAGACUGCAAGGCUAGAAUCUGGCAGAGGGGGGUAGAAUUCCGCGUGUAGCAGUGAAAUGCGUAGAGAUGCGGAGGAACACCGAUGGCGAAGGCAACCCUCC
rnacentral:rRNA from 1 species